rnacentral:rRNA from 1 species
UACGUAGGGUGCGAGCGUUGUCCGGAAUUAUUGGGCGUAAAGAGCUCGUAGGCGGUUUGUCGCGUCUGCCGUGAAAGUCCGGGGCUCAACUCCGGAUCUGCGGUGGGUACGGGCAGACUAGAGUGAUGUAGGGGGAGACUGGAAUUCCUGGUGUAGCGGUGAAAUGCGCAGAUAUCAGGAGGAACACCGGUGGCGAAGGCGGAUCUCUGGGCCGAUACUGACGCUGAGGAGCGAAAGCGUGGGGAGCGAACAGG